CUAGGAGAUUGGAUAUAUAUACAUAGAUAUAGAACCAACUUUCCAUGAAAAGAAGGUCAAGGAAUUUGUAAUUAUUUUAAAUCCAACCAACUGAAAGCAGACACGAGAAGCUAAAUGAGAAUCGUACUACGAUAGAGCAUGGCACCAUGAUAAUCCCUGAUAAAGUCAUGCCAACUGAGUUUAAGUUCGCAGAUCUUGGGCUCUGGAUACCUGGCCCUGAACAACUAGCAUGUUUGAAAAGGAAAGAUUCAAAAUAACAUUUCUUCUGCUUGAGAAUGGACAAUAGAAUUCCUUGCUUUGGCUUUUUGGGACAUAAGUAUACGCUCAAUCAGUGUUUCCCGUUGUGUUCUAUAAAAUGUUAUCAUUUGAAAAAAGUUCUGUAUUAAGAGACUCAAAAUCAGUGAAGAAAUGUGGAAUAUUGCAGUGGAAACAGCACUAUGCUAAGGAUCAAGACACUGGAGUUUAA
rnacentral:lncRNA from 12 species